AUCCUUAUGGAAAUAGACAGUACACGGAUCUGGAAUGGAAGCAAAUAAUAACCGGGUCUCCAGAUUCCAUCGUAUCACAGAACAUAGAACCAAGAAAGUACCUUAGAAGUCAUCUGAUCCAGUCACCCCUGUUUUACCAAUGAGGAAUCUAGACCCAGAAGAAGUUAAAGGACUUACCCAAGAGUACCCAACAACUCUCUCACCACCCCAGGCUCCCAUCUUUGUGUCUCUCCUGUGUGAGCUGUUCCCUGAAGUUCUUCCUGAACUUGCACAUUGCCUUUCCCUUUGAUUUUAAAUCCUUGGCUCAAAUGACAUGCCCGGACUAUAUCGUGUGAUAUGAGCUUGAAAAGUAAUUUACGUACAAGUCUUGAAAGCAAAUCAAGUUUUAAAACAAAGUAGCAUCUACUCUGCCCCAGCCUUGACAUCUUAUUACAUAGCAAAUGCUGGCUUUUUAAUUUCCCUAAUCAAGACUGGUCCUAUUUAGCCCACCUCCUCAAGGGGUCCCAGCACUAGCCCCACUCCGACGCCUGAUGAAGUUCCAGAACAGUGGAAUCAAGCACAGAGAUGGGCACGCCUCUUUACAGAACCAAAGAUUCAGAACUGUGCCUUACCCUUUGCUUAUGAGGCGGAGGAGGAGGAAGAGAAAGAACCACCGCAAAGAGAGAUGGCAACAAAGGACAAAAUGCUUGGAGGAGCAACAGACACCCUGAGACCAUGAAGACAGGACGAAGUCACACACUAAGAUCUGAGGCCCAGGGUCACCACAAACCCGGGAGACAUGAGGCCAGGCCUGAGAGGCACAGGCAGGCUGAGGAAUGGACAGAAGAGCAACAGAGAAGCCUGGAGGAUGAAAGCCAACUCUGCAAAGAGCUUCCAAGAGUCUUC
rnacentral:lncRNA from 1 species